AGUCCUUGGCCGUCUCGCGGCCGCUGACGAACUGGAACUCGUUGGGCGUGAGCCACUCGCCGCGGUGGCGGAUGGACGGGCCCUUGCUGCCCUGGCAGAGUUUGCGCACGUAGAGCAGCGCGCGGUUGGCGCCGCACUCCACCUCGAUGCACGGCUCGCCGUUGUCCAGCAGCGGCUGGAAAUCCGGGGCCGCGGCCGCGGUGGCCGAGAAGCGCUCGAGGGCCAGCGGGUCCCUGGGCAGGUGGAGGUGCGGGGCGGCCUCGUGCAGGCUGAGGAGUGAGUUCGCCCGAGCCACGGAGUUCCUGUUCAGUCUUUUGCAGAAGACGCUGAGACAGAAAGGUCAAGUAACUCUCCUGAAGUCACACAGCUGUUUCAAAUGCAGGAUGUCUCACACCAGGACCGCGCCAGGACCAUGGUGUGGGGCAAGAGCUUCCUGUCACCCCACACCUCCCAGCAGGAAGGUGGUGUGGAUCCGAGGCAGGGUGAGGGUGGGGGAUAGCGGGUUGGCAGAGUGCACGGCCUCCCACUAGGAGGAGCAAGGCUAGUGAAGCAGGACCGGCCACACCACGUCCACCUUGGUGCCUUCUGACAGGUCAGUCUGGGCCCCAGUCCCUGGUUCCUGGUGAGCUUCCCAUCACCCCCCACCUCCCUGCGUGCCCAGAUCGGCAUUGCAUCUGGAGCGUUCCGAAGAGAAACACAACCUGGGGGCGUUGGUAACAGCAGCCAACCCGCGGAGUGAGGUCUGGGCCAGGAGUGCUCUGCUCAGGCAAGGAACAUGCCCAGAAGCCUCCCCCGCUAUCCUGGCCCUGUUCUGUGGGGGCUCGUUGGACACCAGCACAUCCCUGACCCCAGCUGUGGCUGCCAGUGAGUUCCUGUGCCUUCCUCUCCUGAAGUCUGUGUCUUCUCCCAGGUCUGAUACCAUGUGGAAAGUCUGCUCCUGGGGCCAGCUGGAGGCCAUGUGGACUGGCCCUGAGUGCCCACUGUCUGGAUGCAGCCCUGACCCUACUGCCCGUGUGUGGGCUACUAGGUUCACCUGCACCUGACCCUCCUUCUAGGUUCGCCUGCACCUGACUCCCUGAUGUUCACACAGUGAUUUGGAGAGGGAGGCUGGGGAGGCGCAGGUCUGCAUGGCAGUGCCUCUCAGGGUCUGAGGCCCUUGGGCCAGGCCUCUCCUCUGACCUGGGCCAGCAGAGGGGCCUCCUUUCCCUUCCAAGAGCCCUCCCCUGUUCACCAGCAUCUCAUCAUGCUCAGGCCCACAGUGUGGUUAAGGAGGGGCAUGGGGCUGGCCCUGGGUUUCUGGCUGGGUGUGGGGGCCUACCCGGGGCCCAUGGUGUCUUCCAGAAAAGACCCUGACUGGGUCCAAAGCUGGAGGCACCCCUCUAUCCUCACUGUCCACUCCCUGAUGUUCUGGAGGUCCCUCCAGGGGCUGGGUGAGGAGGCCUUCCCCACCACCUCCUUGUCUUCCUGGGAAGCAGGCACCCGUUCAGAGGCCACGUUCCCACAGGACCAGGCUCCUCACCCCCAGCAUCACCCUUUUCCACGGGGUUGUGCCCCUUCCUUGGUCCUGUCCACUCACACACACCCGUGUCCGUGUCCAUGUUCACACCUGUUCUGUGUCCACUCCCACACACCUGUGUCCACUCCCACACCUGUGUCUCGUGUCCACUCGCUCACACCUGUACUGUCCGUGCCCACUCACACGUGUCCCGUGUCCACUCGCUCACACCCGUGUCUCAUGCCCGCUGGCUUACACCAGUCCCGUGUUCACUGGCGCACCUGUGUCCCAUGUCUUGUGUCUGCUCGCACAUCUGUGUGAUGUGUUCACUUGCUCACACGUGUCCUCCACUACCACACCUGUGUCCCAUGUCCACUCACACACCUGUCUUGGUCUGGGACACCUGGGCCCCACUCUCCCCUGCACUCCUCAGGCUGGCGGCAGAGGCCAGAGGAACGGAGUUCUGGCGCUGGAAUCAUCCUGAGCGAGGCAGGGACCUGGCGGUGUGGACUCCACCGCCCCUCCUCCGGCCCACCGAGCCCCGCCUGCCUGGGCCUUGGUGCCUCUGUCGCUGCUCCGGGUCCCCCUGCUGGGGCCCCUCCGCCGCUGGGCUGAGGCUGGAGCCUGCCUCCCGCCGCCAGAGGGAGGAGGUCAUAAAUAACCCUGGGGCUGCCAUGGAGCAGACGGUGACCCCAGACGUCCUGGGGGAGUGUGGGGGCGCCAGGGGCCGCUGCCCCAGCCCGCAUGCCGCCUCCGCCAUCCGGGAGUGCCUGCCCAGGCUCCCCAGCAUUUCUCUUAGAGCCCUUCUCAUCCAUCCCCUCAUCAAUCAAUCAACCAUUUAUUGAGCCCAGAUGUGGUACAGCCCCAGCCGGAGAUGACCCAGAGGUGGGGUGGGGAGGAGAGAGAUGGGGAAGCUGAGUCCGGGGCCACAGGUGCAGCCAGGAGGUGCAGGUGAGCAGCGCUCAGACCAGCCUGUCAGCCUCAGUCCUGAGCUUACUUCUGGUGAUGGAGGGAGAUAUACAGAAAAGAUCCUGCAGCCUGCAGGUGUGGCACAGCUGAUCUUGGGCCAAGGAUGCACAGCUGUGUGUGUGCCUGGCCACCGGCAAGGGCACGUGGGCUCAGAAGCACAGGUGUGCCCACACCCUGCGUGCCUGUGUGUGGCGCAGCAGCUCCCGACGCGCGCAGGACACACACACAGCACAGACAGACCCUCCCAUGGCCACACGGACAAAGAUGGCUUCACUAUAGACACCGGUGCAGACAGGAUGUGCACUGCUUUCCAAGGCCUGUGCGCAACACAGACUCAGGGCCUGUGGGCAUCAGCACCGCCCAGACCCAGGCACACGUGAUCCUCAGCCAAGGUGGCCUGUCCAGUCCUGGUGCUGUUGGAUGGAAAGGCUAACCUGGGAGGUCAGGGGCUGUGGUAUAUCAGCUGGGCUCCCUCGGACGCUCCUGCAGAAGUGGCCAGGACCUCAGGAACGCACCUGCUCCUGGUCAGACAGGAGGGGCUGCCGUGAUGCAACUUGCCCGUGCCUUUGGGUGCUGUGAGCUGGCUGCGUGCCACGUCGUUUCGAGGACGCAAGAAGGUGUUUCCAAGUCCAGUCUGUCCACCGACCUGAACCUUUACCAUUGAAAGAACAAAGGGGUGGGGCCCGAGGGACCCUUCCCUGCCGUCCCGUGGUGUGUAGUCAGGGAUGCUCCUGCAGACACACAGGUGGGCUCUGACUGCCAGAUCGCAGGGGCGGUGCCGUGGUCCUCACCUGCCAUGUCACUAGCGUGCUGACGCAGACACCGGCGAGAGCUACAGUGCUCGGCCCGGCACAUCCCAGACAAUUCCUCUGUAAAUGCUGCAGCAGCCAGAGGCCCCAGCACCUUGAGGUUAAGCAAAGAGAAGGAAUAGAGUUCUCCAGAGCCCCAAGGAGCGGGAGGGUCUGUCCCAAUGGAUGGGCUCAGCCAAUUUCACCCUCUCCUCCCCCUGCCAACACUGCGGCCUGCAGCCUGGACCUGGCCCGGGUUGUGGAGGGGACCGGGGAUGCAGCUGCCACCUGCUGGGCGGACGUGGGCCUAGGUGGUCCUCAGCCCUCAUGACAGGAGCCCCCGAAGCACUGUUGCGGCACCCUCUCUGACAUUGGGUGGGAGACUCUGGGAGCCGAGUGCAGAGCCAGGGCCCAGCACGAAGGCCUUGGGCUCCAGUCCGUGUGCCCCACAUCCCUACAUGAGUGAGGGUGGAGGGAUGGUGCCUCUGCCACGGCCACGGUGCCGCCGUCCACGUCAGCUCACUCUCAGCACAGGUGCUGUGUGACGGCCUCGGGCCACACCGCUUGUUCUGAGGCCCCUAGCAGGUCGGGCUUGUGCUGGCUGCACAUUGGCUGGUGAGCUUGGCGGGUCUGUGGGCACGGAGAGACCAGAACGUGCGUAACAGGCCCGAUGAGGGUGCCAGGCUGUGGCGACCCCCGAGCUUCAGAGGAGAGGGGCACCAGCCGGGGGCCCUGCACAGGCAGCCUCAGAGAGAGGAAAGCUCACGAUCUGGGAGAACUCCAGGCCUGGCCCAGUGAAGACGUCCUUAUCUUCAGCAGACAUUGCCCAGUGCAAGGGGAGGUCAGUCUCAGGAGACAGUCUCCUGGACAGUGGCGUGGCAUCUGUCCUAAGGCCUUGCCUGCAGCACAGGGUGCCACAGAGGUCCCCUGUGACAGAGCCUCAUGGCUGGGGCAGGCGGGGGUCGCACCUGCUCCUGCAUGAAGAGGCAGAUAAAGACCCACAGCAUGGUCUCUGGGGUCCCACAUCCCAGGUAGAGAAUGACCCAGGUCGCUGGCGUCUGUGCCAUCUCUGCUCCACUGACCACUCAUGGGGGUCCUGGAGAUCCUGACACCGGUGGCCGGGGAGCAGCAGCCCAGGCACAGGCCCCAGUGCACAUGCAGAUCCCACCGUGUCUGCACAAGGCCUUGCCCCAACGAGGCCUGGGUGCCGUGUGAGGGCCGGGACGCUAACACAGCGGAGGGUACCCACGCGUGAGCUGCUCUGGGGUCCCUCCCCGUGUUUCUUCCUGUAAUGAAACUUGUACCCAAAUGGGAUAUGCAGGGUUGCACUGUGCAGUCGCUGUGUGUUUUAGGGUCUCAUACCCGUGUGCGCCAGCAGGACCACAGCUGUGACCGGCUGCUCCAGAAGAAGUGGGUGGGUUGAGACCCCACCGGCAGGGUCACUGGGGGUAGCAGGCCCUCUGUCAGCACUGACUUCUGUAUCAUGUCAGGGAUUUUUAGGGCGGCAAGCUCAGGUGGACAGGCAGUUUUAUUCUGUUUCCCAUGUCAAGUCCAGCCCCAGACUGACUUUCUGAGGUCACAGACGGAGCCUCACCCCAUCCAAGGCGGUGUCCUGGACUCCCACUGUGCUCCCCAGAGGGCAGGGUGAGUGCGUGGCAUCCUUUUGGCGGGCGUGGGUGCCUCUGUGGACCUGGCGUGAGGCUUCUCUGUUUCUGAGUCUCCUAUGGACCAUCUGUCUUCUGUGUGGCUGCUGAGGAAUCACACUGGGGUGGCCGUGCCGGUGGCUGAAUGAGAACAGGACCCCCAUGCUGCACAGCCCUGCUUAACGCGGGGGUGGCCCCAGAAGCGGGUGGGCGAGGCUGGGCAGCAGGGAUUGGCUGAAAUCAUAUGCAGAGCCCAAGAGGCAGGGGAAAGGCGGCAAUUUCAGGGUCCCUUUGUUCGCCAGGUACCUGGGGCCCAGCCCGGGCGGCAGGAGGGACUCAGCCCCUCGCCCAGGCAGGAAGGGUCCCAAGCAGAGGCCCCUCCCUCAGGCACUCCCCAGCCCACACCUGCAGCACUGGGACCAAGACUAAUAAAACACCAGCCUCACGGAAGACAGCUUUAUCUUGUUGAUCGGAAGUCUGCCAGCCCAAUUUAUGAUGGAACAUAAGAUCUCUAAAUCUGAAUUUACGCUCUGUAGCGUAACGAGAGGUCAAUAAGAUUAAACGGGGGCUCAGGAGAGGACCAGCGUCAGGCUCACUGCGAGGUGCUGCACAGAAAACCCACAGCCAGAGCCCCUGGGCCCAGCCCAGGCAAGACCAGAAAAGGAGGGGGCAGGUGGGAGACCAGCCUGGGGCUCCCGGGAAGCCCACGGGAUGGAGGCGGGAGAGCCAGGAGGCCUGGGGCAACCCUGGGACGGUUCCUGGAUCGAGGAGAGCAGGGGGGUGAUGAGGGUUCCCUCAGGGCUGGGGAGCCUUCUCCUGGUCUCAGACCCACCCCCCUUCAGCUCCCAAGCCCUGGGUGCCCCUGGCUCUGAGGACAGUUGGGAAUCUUCCCUGAGGCAGGUUCAAGGACAGAGCUCUGACCCUGGCCCAGGGCUGCUUUGGGUGCCUAUGAACUCGGCUUCUGGCUCAGAGCAGUUCCCUGCACCCCUUCCUGAGCCCUCUGUCCUCUGGAACCCGUGGGCAGGGUGAGGGACGGGUGUUCCUUCUGGGUGGGGGCCUGGGCGCCCAGCCAGCACGACGCUGGCUUGCUGAGCUUAGGGCAGACCCCGACUUCAGAAUUUAUACAAAUAAAUGCAAUGAAAAGUGCUGGCAACCUGAUCUGAUUACAGAGUCAUUCAUUCUCUGGUCGUUAAUAAUUUGUGCAAUAAAGGACUGCAGCCGCUCAGUGCGGGGGAGGCUGUGGCCCAACCUUCCCUCGGCGCCGGCCCCGGGAGCUGGAAGCAUAAAUUAUUAGUUUCUUAUCGCUGGGCCUGCCAUCGCUCAUGCUGCCAGGGCCUGGCGGGAGCUGGUGGCUGUUCUGCUGCCCGCCCUGGCCGGCUCAGGGCCGGCUCUCAGCCGUCGCCUGGGGCCCUUUGUCACCCCCACCCUGGCCCCCCAGGUGUGGGAGCCCCAGAGCCUGCUCAGGCCUGGAGGCUGCUGCUGGAGCCGGCAACUCUGGAAGCCAGAAAGGUGGGGCUUUAGUGCCUGUCCUCAGACCCUCAGGUAACCAAAGCCAAAUUACUCCCUGUUGGAAACACAACCUCACAUACCGGGCCACAGCACGGACACCCACGACAGCAGGCCACAGCACGGACACCCACGGCAGUGGCCCACAGCACGGACACUCACAGCAUGGACAGCAGCCCAGAGGGACCCUUGCCCAGACCCUGACCAGGGGGAAGAGACAGUUGUGUCUGGGUUUGUCAGUCCUCUGGUUGUGGCAGGGCCCCUCUGGGUGGGACUCGGCACCUGUACCUGGGAGCACCUGCUCAGAUGAGGGAGUGGGAGCAGGAACAGCGCUCAUGCUCUCUCCCUGUGUCCAGGGCUGGGGCCCUGGUCUGGCGGGUAGGCAUAGGGCACCUCCUGCCCUCUCAUGCCCUCAUACACCUGCUGCUGGGGUUCCCUGUCCCACCCCAAAAGGGAGAAGCCAAGGCUGAGGCAAGGUUGGAAAAUCAGGGUGGGGACUCUGGAAUCCAGACAUCCCGACAGAGGAUGCAGGAGGAAUCGGCGUGAGCGCAGGGUAAACUCACGGACCCGAACUCUCAGAUGUGCUUCCUGGGCUCAGCUUCCCCUUUCUGGAGGGCUGGGGGUUCCAGAACCUUGCCUUGAAUUUGUGAGGAUGGUGGGACCUGGAGGGCAGGUGGCGCAGAUGGUGUGAGCCCUCACCCCAGGACGCUGUGCCCACUUCUGGCUGUGCAGCCUUGGGAAGGCUUCUGACUUCUCUGAACCUCAAUCUGUAAAAUGGGAAUGAGAAUGAAACAAGAUGAAAUUAACAUGCAUUGAGCGUGUGGGGUGGGGCAGAGACAGCCACCUUGCAGCUGGUGAGGCCCUUACAGCAUCUGGUCCUGCCACCUCGCAGCUGGUGAGGCCCUCACAGCAUCUGGUCCCGGAGCCCACACAGCCCUUUGCAGAGACUGCCCUACCCACGUGCAAGCGUUUCGCCCUCUUCCCACGGGCGACCCCAGCUUGGCCGCAUGCGUUUUUGCUCAGAACGUCCCCACCUAUGUCCCACCUGCCCUCUGGCUUCGGGAGUGCUGGGCGCAGUGGUGGCAGGUGCCUCGGUGCCCUUGGACUUGCCCGGUCGUCUGUUGCUUCUGAGGCGGCCCCGUUGAUGGGUGCUCCUUCUCUUCUGGGUGCAUUUUCCUUUUCCUGCUUCCUCGCAUGCCUGGUGAUUUUUGAAUGGGUGACAGGGAUUGUGAAUUUUGCUGGGUGCUGACUAUUUUUGUAGCAAAGCUGAGAAAAGCUUACUUUGCUCAGGACUCCAGGAAGUUACUUGGAAGCUGUUUGGUCCUUUGGGGUCUUGCUUUUAAGCCCUGCUGGGAGGACCAAGGCAGCUUGUAGUCUGGGGCUGACUGUGCCCUCCUUUACCAGGGCACGGCCCUGCUUGGUGCUCUGCCCAGGGGCUGAGGUGCCCCAGCCUGGCUGGUGGACCACGGACCUUCCACGGUUCCCUCUGGUGAUCUCGGGUGGUUCUCCUCACCUUCUGUAGUUGCCUUUCUUUUUUUCUUUUUCUUUCUUCUUUUUUUUUUUUUUUUGAGACGGAGUUUUACUCUUGUUGCCCAGGCUGGGGUGCAGUGGUGCGAUCUUGGCUCUCCA
rnacentral:lncRNA from 1 species